rnacentral:rRNA from 1 species
AAGCGGAGGAAAAGAAACCAACAGGGAUUGCCUCAGUAACGGCGAGUGAAGCGGCAAGAGCUCAACUUUGGAAUCGCUCCGGCGAGUUGUAGUCUGGAGGUGGCCACCACGAGGUGUUCUAGCAGCAGGCAAGUCCUUUGGAACAAGGCGCCAGCGAGGGUGACAGCCCCGUACCUGCUUUUGCUAGUGCUUCCUGUGGCCCACCGACGAGUCGAGUUGUUUGGGAAUGCAGCUCUAAGUGGGUGGUAAAUUCCAUCUAAGGCUAAAUAUUGGCGAGAGACCGAUAGCGAACAAGUACAGUGAUGGAAAGAUGAAAAGCACUUUGAAAAGAGAGUGAAACAGUACGUGAAAUUGUUGAAAGGGAAGGGCUUGCACCCAGACACGGUUUCGGCCGGGCCAGCAUCAAGUAGAACGGGGUUAAAAGACUUGGGGAAUGUAGCUACUUCGGUAGUGUUAUAGCCCUUGGUGAUGACCCCUGUUUUGCUUGAGGACAGCGGUCUCUAGGAUGCUGGCGCAAUGGUUGCAAGCCACCCGUCUUG